CAUUAUUGGAAGAUAACUGAACUGAGCUGGAUGAUGACAUCACUGAAUCAAUGAAGAACUGACUUUAACUUAAAUAUUUACUGUUUGCUAUUGUCCUAUGUUUAUUAAUAAAU